rnacentral:tRNA from 1 species
GCCCCUGUAGCAUAGUAGCUAUUGCGGCAGAUUUGUAAUCUGCAGGUCAUGGGUGCAAGUCCCAUCAGGGGCU